AGAGGGAGUGUGGAUCUGGGGGAGAGGGAAGGUGGGGGUGGGAGACACUGGGGGGAAGGAGAGAAAGGGGAAACUGAGGUUGGGAUGUACAAUAUGGGAGAAGAGUGAAAAAGAAAGAAAAAUAAGUUUAGGAAAGUUUAGUUUCUUCCAUUAUGAACCUAUCAGUCACCAUUAAGCCAAAUUACUAUACCAGACAUGAUGAGAGGUGUCAGACACAUCUGGUUUUCCUGAUAGUGAUUAAGGUCUGGACUCAAAGCUCUUGCCUGAGCUGUUUGCUUUUCCAUCAGUAACACACAGAUUGUUGAGCUGUUUAAUGAGUCUUAUUAAGUAGCAAAUGGUUACAGAUUAUAAAAAAAAUUAUUUUAAAGAAUAAAAAUGUGUGGCUGUGCCAUGAUAUGGAAUAUUAGCAUUUCCAUCUUGUAGGCAGCUUCAUGAAAGUUAAUUUAUAGUUUUUAAUCUGAUAACUGUUAGUUGAGCACCUAUUACAUUACUGGAAUUAUUUUGAAUUUGUGGCAUGGAAUGAUGCAAAAAAAAAAUCUGGUUCCUGUAAGUUUCCAUACAGGAAUAGGGACAGACGAUUUCAAAAGCCUACAGUGAAUUUCAGAUAGUGGUUUGUAACAGUGACCUAAGAUGAUAUAACCACGGGAAUUGCCUGUUGGGGCUCUGCCAGGGAAGGUCCUCAUUCUGAGAACUGGAUGUUUGAGACAAGUUAAUAUUUCUAGGAAGUAUUUUUUUCUGAGUAGAGUGAACAGUGUGUAGAAAGUCCCGGAGGCAGAAAAAUUUUUAAUUGGUACAAGGAACAAAAAUGAGAGCCAUAUGGUAAGCUGGCAUGUAAGGGGGUGAUGUUUAUAGGUGAUGGGAUUAUAGGCUAUGGGGACAAGACACUGAUCUCAGGCAGAAGGGAAUUAAUAAUGAGUAUGAAAAGGCUGCAGGUAGUAAUCAAUACUGACUUAAGCCUAUGGCAUGGAUUUUAUGGUCUGAUCAGGAGAUGCAAUGUUCCUGUGUGUUCUGUGGAGCUCUUGCUGUAGGUGUGAGAUAGACAGGUGAGAGUAAUCAACUAACUGUCCUUUCCAUGGGGUAUGGUGGUGGAAAUGAGGUUCAGAGAAGGUAGAUGUGUUUGUGGGACAGUCGUAGUGAUGACUCAUACAAUCUAGGAUUAUGCCUAAGGCCGUUGAGUUGGCGAGGAAAGGAGCUAUGACCUGUGACGAUGUGAAUGCUGAAUGUUAUCCUGAGAUGCUAGCUAUGACCUGUGAUGAUGAGAAUGCUGAAUGCUAUCCUAAGAUGCUCCUUCCUGGACCGAUGAGACUGGAGGCAGUUGGUCCACCUCGUAUGCUCCUAUCCCGAGGCAGAGUGACACAGGUGGCACUCUGGAGUAGGGCAAACCACCAGGAACUGUAGUGGGUAGACAAUAAGGUUUCAAGAAGGUGGCAGUGGCUGUGAUGACUGAGGUAUGAUUGGCUUGUACCAGAUAAUUCUGUCAGCUCACUGGGACCCAACACCUGCUCAGCAGAAGAAAGCAGGAGCUGUCUCUAUGGUUCACAAUACUGAGGGUUGUUUGACUGGAGAGUUUAACCUGUAGGAGUAGAGUCAGAAGGGGAGCAAUGUGCAGAGGCCAUUCAGGGAUCUCUAGGGUGUUUCCAGAUGUCAGGGAAGCACAUAAUAUUGAACUUUGAUAUCUGGCCUUCCCUGCAGCUAAGAAGCUGGCAUCGAAGUUGUUAGAAGAGUUAUUGGAAUGGGACUAACAGGAGAUGGUUGCCAGAGAAGGAUCCUGAAACUGUUAUCACAGCUAUACAAGGUCAAAUGAAGGGCAUAACCUUGGCAUGAAGAGGAAUUGGUAGAGGAGGGCUGAGCUACGGUCGAUGACCUUGGAGACAGAAUGCUGGUGAUAGAAUAGUGAAGCACAGCGCAGUGUUUAACUUGUCCGGACAUAGAAAACAGGGUUUCGUCAGCUAGUUAAGGCUAAACAAAGAACGUCCGAAAUAAAACAAAAGGUCGUGGUAUGUUUUAAGACUCUUUAAAAACCUUCAAUUACCCAGAAUAAACCACCUGGUCUCAGGCUGACAAGAAGGUCGGGCAACUGCAGCUGCUAAAAGCCAAACUCAGUGUAUUGGCUAGGUGCUAAUAUGCCUUUAUUGGGGUCUAUAACUUCAAAAUUAAGUUUUCAGAACCUGGGCAGAUUGAAUGUCAUUGACUUCUCUCGUCUUUGAGGAUGAGAUAUUAGAAGCCUGUGAAUUCUGACAGCUGUUUAAAAGUGGAGUUCCUGGAUUUCACGACAUUUUGUUAACAAUGUGUAAAGAUCGGCCCUAAAGCCAAUCUGUGCCGGGCUGCUUUGGCUGGGACAUCCCAGGCAAAGGUUUUAAGCAUAUGCUCAUUAUAGAACCCACGGGUAGCAAGCGUAAAGAAGCAAUGCUGUUCUUGUCUACAACCUGUUGUGGUUAACGGAGUUCCUUCCUUGCUGGGACCCUAGGAAGAAUGGCUUUCUUUACUGGAGACACACUGUGGGCUUUGGUAAUAAGAGGAAAACUAAGAGAAGAGGCUUUGUUAAGACCUUAGUGAAAUUCUUCUCCCCUCUUUCUUUUUAUUUUAGAUGUACCCAUUCUAGACCCCCCAAAGACUACCGUCCACCAGCAGCCAUCCUUCCACGAUUUUCUGUGGCCAGUUUAGACUGAGUGCACAUUCUUUGGUGCUACUGAAAUUUGAAAUGGGAAGAUUGAAGAUUGAGGUCUGUGUUAAUUCCUUAAAAUGUGGAUGAAGCAGAAAUGAAAUCGGAUAAUAUCUUUUUAGCGGGAUGCUGGGAUGCUUUGUUUUUUGUU
rnacentral:lncRNA from 1 species